AGAAUGGCAAUGAAAAAGGCGUAGUACAAUAACCCUCUGAUUUUUAGAGAGCUUGUGGUUGGUGAAAACAAGCAUCAAGGUGAAUUGGAAUUGGACUUUGGAGCUAGUACUAAUGAAGUGAUCUUAAAGUUUAAGAUAAUUAGGGUGGCAACGCGGUUCAUUCGUCCCUUUC
rnacentral:ncRNA from 1 species